GAUCCUGGCUCAGGACGAACGCUGGCGGCGCGCCUAACACAUGCAAGUCGAACGAGAGAUGAGGAGCUUGCUCUUCAAAUCGAGUGGCGAACGGGUGAGUAACGCGUGAGGAACCUGCCUCAAAGAGGGGGACAACAGUUGGAAACGACUGCUAAUACCGCAUAAGCCCACGGCUCGGCAUCGAGCAGAGGGAAAAGGAGCAAUCCGCUUUGGGAUGGCCUCGCGUCCGAUUAG
rnacentral:rRNA from 1 species